rnacentral:lncRNA from 1 species
UCUCAGUCCUCCCUAUCUCAUGUAAUCUAUUGCAUGGAUGGAGGUGUCAUCAUCAUUGCCCUCUCACUUGCAACUAGCAAUGGUGAUUGUUCAGCAAGGCUCCUUGGUGAGUGAUCCCCUUCUCCGCCGUCUAAUCCAUUUUCUCCCUUUGUUUCUUUUCUUACCUCUUGGCCUUCCCUCUCUUUGUGGCCUUCCUUCUUUGCCUCCCCUCUCAUUGUGGCUGGCUAAUUGUGGAGUGGGAAGGCAUCCAUAGGUUUCAAGGUAUGUCCAACCAAC